AGCCCUGGAAGAGCUCCAGGGAGGGAUAGAGGAAGCUAGGGAAGAGAGAGAGCUACUUGGGGAAUCCAAAGAAUUUGUGGAAGAAGGUUUAAAGUAAAGAGGAAGAGCAACUUGUUGUUGGGCUGCAGAACAGAAAUACAGAAAUUUCUGGUGCACCAAAGCUUCCCAACGAAUUUCAGGAGGAGAAGAGAGUCCCGAAAGGGUGCCAGGAGUAUCAACCACUAGGGUGGUGCGUUAGCCAUCACAAGAUCGGCAGAGUCAUAACAUUAUAAAAGUACCGCAUCAGCAUCAUCCUAGAAGUUUGUCAUAGAAGGUUGGCCAUGCCCCUCUGAGUAAAGGAAAAACCUUUGUAUUAUGCAUGUAGGUGGGGUGUGAAUAUAAAGUAACUUGAGACAGAUGUAAAGUUUGUUAUAUUUUGAGCUAUGUAUAGUAUACUUUAAGUUAUAAAUAAAAGCUUGGGUUGCUUUU